ACUUCCAAGCUUUUAGAUCCGGUGGUGAUGUUCCGUAAACAAGCGCAACCUCAGCUCCCUGGAGGGCCUGGGAGCAAAUGGGUGCAUCUCGGCCUCCCUCCCAGCAGCUGCUCGCACAACCCGGCCGCCUCCAGCGGGCGAGCUCAACGGCCUCCCCACCCCCAGCUCAGCCUCAGGAAGUGGGGCCACUGAGAGUAUCCUCUCGCCUCCCCUCCUGCCGUGAGUGCCCUCUGUGAGGGAGCAUUUCCUGGCCUAAUUAAGCUGGGUAAUGAGUAGCUAAGAAAAGGGGAUGAAAGCCCUAGGCGGCUUAGAGCUGGGACAGUUUAUGACAGGGGUGUCUGCAGCUGGUGACGGUCGUAGAGAAGUUAUUUCUCCUAAACCUGGGAAGUUACAUGCUAUUUCCUCAGCAGAGUGAGCCCCAGAGUGGAGCAGAGGGAUUACUCUGUCCUAAGGGGACCUGCUUGGAGGGCCUGACACACCACUGAACUCUUGGUGGCUGGAAGGACAUGGAACUGAUGAAGGUGGUGUUGCACAUCUGUUCUCAGGGGGACUGCUGCAAGUUGGAGAGUGGCUUGGAGUACACACUGGAACAAAAUAAGCCUGACACCUUGAGUUUGGUCCCUGGGACCCACGUGGCAGAAGGAGAGCACUGGCCCCUGGAAGUUGUCCUAUGACCUUCAUUCAUGCCCCAUGGAAUCCUCCUCUGCCCUUAAGUCUAAUAAAAAAUUUAAUUGGA